ensembl:snRNA U6 U6 spliceosomal RNA
GUGUUUCGGCAGCACACAUACUAAAAUUGGAACAAAACAGAGAAGAUUAGCUGACCCCAACUCAAGGAUAAUAUGCAAAUUCAUGAAGCAUUCCAUAUAUUU